GAUGAACGCUGGCGGCGUGCCUAAUACAUGCAAGUCGAGCGAACGGACGAGAAGCUUGCUUCUCUGAUUUUAUCGGCGGACGGGUGAGUAACACGUGGAUAACCUACCUAUAAGACUGGGAUAACUUCGGGAAACCGGAGCUAAUACCGGAUGAUAUUUUGAACCGCAUUGUUCAAAAGUGAAAGUCGGUCUUGCUGUCGCUUAUAGAUGAAUCCGCGCUGCAUUAGCUAGUUGGUAAGGUAACGGCUUACCCAGGCAACGAUGCAUAGCCGACCUGAGAGGGUGAUCGGCCACACGGGAACUGAGACACGGUCCAGACUCCUACGGGAGGCAGCAGUAGGGAAUCUUCCGCGAAGGACGAAAGCCUGACGGAGCAACGCCGCGUGAGUGAUGAAGGUCUUCGGAUCGUAAAACUAUGUUAUUAGGGAAGAACAUAUGUGUAAGUAACUGUGCACAUAUUGACGGUACCUAAUCAGAAAGCCACGGCUAACUACGUG
rnacentral:rRNA from 1 species